rnacentral:rRNA from 1 species
AUGGAGGCAGCAGUGGGGAAUAUUGGACAAUGGGGGGAACCCUGAUCCAGCAAUGCCGCGUGUGUGAAGAAGGCCUGAGGGUUGUAAAGCACUUUCAGCGGGGAGGAGGAUUGACUGGUUAAGAGCUGGUUAAUUGGACGUUACCCGCAGAAGAAGCACCGGCUAACUCCGUGCCAGCAGCCGCGGUAAUACGGAGGGUGCGAGCGUUAAUCGGAAUUACUGGGCGUAAGGGGUGCGUAGGUGGUUUAACAAGUUAUCCGUAAAAGCCCUGGGCUCAACCUGGGAAGGCCAGAUAAAACUGUUAGACUAGAGUAUGGGAGAGGGUAGUGGAAUUUCCGGUGUAGCGGUGAAAUGCGUAGAGAUCGGAAGGAACACCAGUGGCGAAGGCGGCUACCUGGCCUGAUACUGACACUGAAGCACGAAAGCGUGGGGAGCAAACAGGAUUAGAUACCCCGGUAGC